UGUCCCGUGGCUUAGUUGGUUACGGCGUCCGACUGUUAGGAAUAAGUGUAAUUCCAAGGACAUCGGAAGAUCGAGAGUUCGAGUCUCUCCGGGACAG